GGGAGCCUACGGGGGGCAGCAGUGAGGAAUAUUGGUCAAUGGGCGCAAGCCUGAACCAGCCAAGUCGCGUGAGGGAAGACGGCCCUACGGGUUGUAAACCUCUUUUGCCGGGGAGCAAGCCUGAGCACGUGUGCCCAGGCGGAGAGUACCCGGAGAAAAAGCAUCGGCUAACUCCGUGCCAGCAGCCGCGGUAAUACGGAGGAUGCGGGCGUUAUCCGGAUUUAUUGGGUUUAAAGGGGGCGCAGGCGGGCUGUGAAGCCGGCGGGAAAAAAUCAGGGCUCAAACC
rnacentral:rRNA from 1 species